GCUCGUAUUUAUUACGGGAGGAAAGUCCGGGCUCCAUGAAGGCAGGGUGCAGGAUAACGUCCUGCGAGUGCAAACUUAGGGAAAGUGCCACAGAAAAUAUACCGCCAAGCUUGCAAAAGCUCGGUAAGGGUGAAAUGGUGCGGUAAGAGCGCACCGCUGAGCUGGAAACAGGUCAGGCAGGGUAAACCCCACCCGGAGCAAGUUCAAGUAAAAGAGAGACAGCCUUCGUCGUACUCUUGGGUUGAACGCUUGAGGGCGUUGGUGACAGCGUUCCCAGAUAGAUGAUGACAUAAUACAGAACCCGGCUUAUAGAUUU
rnacentral:RNase_P_RNA from 1 species